UACGUAGGGGGCAAGCGUUGUCCGGAUUUACUGGGCGUAAAGCGCACGUAGGCGGAUCUUUAAGUCAGAGGUGAAAUCCCAAGGCUCAACCUUGGAACUGCCUUUGAUACUGGGGAUCUUGAGUCCGGGAGAGGUGAGUGGAACUGCGAGUGUAGAGGUGAAAUUCGUAGAUAUUCGCAAGAACACCAGUGGCGAAGGCGGCUCACUGGCCCGGUACUGACGCUGAGGUGCGAAAGCGUGGGAGCAACAGG
rnacentral:rRNA from 1 species